rnacentral:lncRNA from 1 species
GAUGACAGCUUAAUGAGAGGGGGAGAUAAUACUCCUGCAUUUUCUAUAACUCGUGUGUGCUUUUAUGCCUCUCUGAAAGGCAAAAGUGCAGAUUCACUGUCAAAUAUGUCUCCCGUGGUCCAUCUCAUGCCCACUCGAGAUACUUCCUCCACAAAAAUAGAAGGUAACAGAUAGGCUGCCAGGAAGCAGGAAUCCACAGGACAGGACACCUUUGACAACACUGUGAGCUACCUCAUUGUGAGCAGAGGUGUGGGGAAUAAAAGACAGAUCAUCCAUAUCAGGUCCAAAGAAACAUUAGACCCUGGAAAAAGCUAAUUCAAACAGCUCUGCUUCUAUGAGUCUAUGCCAUUUACUCCCAUCAAAGACUGG